rnacentral:rRNA from 1 species
CAGUAGCCGCGGUAAUCCGUAGGUGGCAAGCGUUGUCCGGAAUUAUUGGGCGUAAAGCGAGCGCAGGCGGUUAGAUAAGUCUGAAGUUAAAGGCUGUGGCUUAACCAUAGUACGCUUUGGAAACUGUUUAACUUGAGUGCAAGAGGGGAGAGUGGAAUUCCAUGUGUAGCGGUGAAAUGCGUAGAUAUAUGGAGGAACACCGGUGGCGAAAGCGGCUCUCUGGCUUGUAACUGACGCUGAGGCUCGAAAGCGUGGGGAGCAAACAGGAUUAGAUACCCCGGUAGUCCCUGUCUCUUAUACA